GGGUUGUCCACUUGUCAAAGAGCCCCACACUGCUCAAAGCUGCCUUCUGCCUGUGUUCCCUGGAACUGAAUACAGACCUGCCUUGAGCCGUCUCUCUGAUCUUUCACACAUUUGAGACCAGGACCUGUGUCCUCCACAAAGCCCUUGGGUAGGAUCUUUCUGUUCAUCAACCCUCUGGCCUAAGGGCUCAGAGGUCAGGCGUCCACUGCAUCCCCUCCCCGGGGAAGUCAAUGUGUUUGAGUCUGAGGAUGUGGGUUCCUCUUUCUCCUUAACCCAACUUGUCUCUCAUUCUUGCUGAUUUCAGAGUCCUGGUAAAUUCUUCCCCUCAGAACCACCCUGAUUUCUUGGUUCUUGAACCGCCUCCUCUCUUCCAACUUCAAAUUUAAGGUCUUAAACGUUUUUAAAUGUGUAUAUAAAUG
rnacentral:lncRNA from 1 species